CGGAUGGCGUUGACGAAGAGAAGUAGCUUAUUUGCAGCACAAAAAGAGAGCUGGUGGUUGGUGUGAACCAGUGUGCGUGAUAAGUGAAUGGACUUCCGAGCUCCAAACCGAACGCAGUUUUGUUAGUAGGAUUUGGCGAGAGGCCCACUCGUUGCAAAGGGGUAGCGUUACAUGUUUUACAUCUGACGUGUGAUAAGUGAGCUGAUUCAAUCAGCUAACAAAGGUGGUACCACGGGUUUUCUCGUCCUUUUU
rnacentral:ncRNA from 1 species